rnacentral:sRNA from 1 species
GCUGGGCGUGGUAGUGGGCGCCUGUAAUCCCAGCUACUUGGGAGGCUGAGGUAGGAGAAUUGCUUGAACCCGGGAGGUGGAGGUUGCAGUGAGCUGCAAUUGCGCCACUGCACUCCAGCCUGGGUGACAGAGUGAGACUCUGUCUCAA